rnacentral:rRNA from 1 species
AGUGAACGCUGGCGGUAGGCCUAACACAUGCAAGUCGAACGGCAGCACAGGAGAGCUUGCUCUCUGGGUGGCGAGUGGCGGACGGGUGAGGAAUACAUCGGAAUCUACUUUUUCGUGGGGGAUAACGUAGGGAAACUUACGCUAAUACCGCAUACGACCUACGGGUGAAAGCAGGGGAUCUUCGGACCUUGCGGGAUUGAAUGAGCCGAUGUCGGAUUAGCUAGUUGGCGGGGUAAAGGCCCACCAAGGCGACGAUCCGUCGCUGGUCUGAGAGGAUGAUCAGCCACACUGGAACUGAGACACGGUCCAGACUCCUACGGGAGGCAGCAGUGGGGAAUAUUGGACAAUGGGCGCAAGCCUGAUCCAGCCAUACCGCGUGGGUGAAGAAGGCCUUCGGGUUGUAAAGCCCUUUUGUUGGGAAAGAAAUCCAGCUGGUUAAUACCCGGUUGGGAUGACGGUACCCAAAGAAUAAGCACCGGCUAACUUCGUGCCAGCCGCCGCAGUAA